rnacentral:rRNA from 1 species
GAUGAACGCUGGCGGCGUGCUUAACACAUGCCAGUCGAACGAGAAGUGAAGACGGAAACCUUCGGGCGGAAGGCUUUAUUUCGAGUGGCGGACGGGUGAGUAACGCGUGGGUAACCUGCCUCAUACAGGGGGAUAACAGUUGGAAACGACUGUUAAUACCGCAUAAGACCACAGCACCGCAUGGUGCGGGGGUAAAAACUCCGGUGGUAUGAGAUGGACCCGCGUUCGAUUAGCCAGUUGGCGGGGUAACGGCCCACCAAAGCGACGAUCGAUAGCCGAUCUGAGAGGAUGACCGGCAACAUUGGGACUGAGACACGGCCCAAACUCCUACGGGAGGCAGCAGUGGGGAAUAUUGCACAAUGGGGAAAACCCUGAUGCAGCGACGCCGCGUGAGUGAAGAAGUAUUUCGGUAUGUAAAGCUCUAUCAGCAGGGAAGAAAAUGACGGUACCUGAGUAAGAAGCCCCGGCUAACUACGUG